rnacentral:lncRNA from 1 species
UUACCAUUUUCGGGGUAUUCAAAUCACAUACAAAAUCAUUAUUUUGAAGAAUCCAAAGAGAAAAUGGAAUUCGUCCAAAACAACACUACAUUAGUCUAUUACAAUCGUUACAUUAUACUACAACCCAAAUAAGCCUACUACUGCCUACAAUUACAAGACUUAAUAUGCUACUCUUUGCUGAUAUGCUUCAUAGCUUCGGACUUGGAUUCACACUUCACCUGUGCAAAAAAUAAGAAUGAACAUAUAAGAAUAAGAAUGUGUCGAGAACAUCAAACAAUGGUCAAUGAGGGUUCCAGUAACUUAGAAGCAAGAAUUGAUAGCAAAUGAAAUGUACAUAAUUAGUAUGACUAACAUUAAUUAGUAUGUGUUUAUGGAGCGGCUAAAAUGUUCUCAAACUAGCUAGGAUUUUUUUGAUGUAUAGUAUACUCACAUGUGCAACUCUAAUUAAAUUGAUCAUGGAAAUGAAAAAAGAAACCAGGCACUCAAGUUAUAUUCGGAAAAAAAUCUAACUAUUGUAAAACAAACAGAUUUGGUGUUGUAUAUUAACAUGUAACAUGUCAAGUUUGCAUAUAACUAAAUGAAGACAUGUCUUGCUAGACAAUGUGGUUCAGAUGGGGUAAAAGCUACACGAACAUGGAUUUGGAAAGAUAGUGUGUGUAAUUACAAUCAGAACAAUAAAUCAAAAAUUAAACACAUAUAUGCAUGGGGUGAAAGAUAUGCACAAGAAGGACAAGAAAAGUACAGUUUAUGUAAAUCAGAAAUCACUUAAUAGAUAUUUAAUCUUGAUUCUAGAACAAUUGGAUUAAAGCAUGCUGAAAAACUGAAGCAAACAGUAAUAUAUAU